rnacentral:rRNA from 1 species
CAAAAACAUAGCUAUAUGAUUUAAUAUAUAGUGUUUUCUGCUCAAUGAAUAUUAAAUAGCCGCAGUACUCUGACUGUGCUAAGGUAGCGCAAUCAAUUGACUUUUAAAUGAAGUCCAGUAUGAAAGAAAUUAUGGAGGAUUACUUUCUCAUUAAUAUUUAUUGAAAUUACUUAUGAAGUGUAAAUUCUUUUAUAUAAAUAAUAGACGAGAAGACCCUAGAAAUUUUAAAGAAAUGACCUUUUUGUUGGGGCAACAAAGUAGCAUAGUUAAUCUACUAUUAUAACAAGAAAGUUAUAUCUUGUAAGAUGAAAUUACUCUAGGGAUAACAGCAUAAUUUAUAAUAGUUUGUGACCUCGAUGUUGGAUUAGGGAAAUAACAUUUAGAAGAUAAAUAAUAAGCUCUGUUCGAGCA